UACAGAGGGGGCCAGCGUUAUUCGGAAUUAUUGGGCGUAAAGGGCGCGUAGGCGGCCAUGCGUGUCUUCCGUGAAAUCCCUCGGCUUAACUGAGGACGUGCGGAAGAAACUGCAAGGCUCGAGUCCGGGAGAGGGGGGUGGAAUUCCCAGUGUAGCGGUGAAAUGCGUAGAUAUUCGGAGGAACACCAGUGGCGAAGGCGGCUCACUGGUCCAUUACUGACGCUGAGGUGCGAAAGCGUGGGGAGCAAACAGG
rnacentral:rRNA from 1 species